rnacentral:lncRNA from 1 species
AUAUCAGCUGCUAUAAUUUUCUCUUUCGUUUGAUUCACAUCUUCAGACAUCUGCAAAGCUGCCAGUUCUGGCCCUCUAGACUCUGUGAGGAAGCCACUAAGGCCACUGUCCCUUCAGGAGACACAAACACAUGGAUGGCAUCAUGCUGCAGGAGACUUUCAGAGCUUAGUCUAUGGAGAAAAUGCUGAAUGGUGCAAGGCUGCAUCUUUUUUCCUCCUGAACCUGUUUCAUAUGAAUCGAUUCUAGGAUCACCAGUCUGUCCCCACAGUCAUCCUGCCAUCUGCUAGGCUUGGUAGCUGUUGCCGGAACACUUAGGAUCCUUCCCUAAGAUGUCUAGAGUGUCGUCACAACAGAUGUUUAACCAUCAAAUUCCACACAUGUUGCCUAGGGCAGGCACAGAUGGGGAUAACAAAAGAUCAUGGCAUUAAUGAGGUAGAAAAGCCAUUUCUGAAUUGCGAGGGCUCUAGUCUCAGGAUGGCCUCCUAACACAGCAGCACUCCCAAGAAAGAAGUGCCUACUACAUUUCAAACCCUUCAACUUUAAUCUCGUCGACAAUUUUCAUGUUUUCUCCUUAAAAAGCAUUAUGAGCAUACACCUCCCAAAUGACAGUACCAAAACCUAGUCAGCUACAGAAAGCUUGGCCAUUGAUAAGAUAUAUUUCCCCUUCAAGAA